UACGUAGGGGGCUAGCGUUGUCCGGAUUUAUUGGGCGUAAAGAGCUCGUAGGCGGUGUGUCGCGUCGGCCGUGAAAACCUGCAGCUUAACUGUGGGCUUGCGGUCGAUACGGGCAUCACUGGAGUUCGGCAGGGGAGACUGGAAUUCCUGGUGUAGCGGUGAAAUGCGCAGAUAUCAGGAGGAACACCGGUGGCGAAGGCGGCUCUCUGGGACGGUACUGACGCUGAGACGCGAAAGCGUGGGGAGCGAACAGG
rnacentral:rRNA from 1 species